GGAGAGGUGUCCGAGCGGCUUAAGGAGCACGCCUGGAAAGUGUGUAUACGUUAAUAGCGUAUCGAGGGUUCGAAUCCCUCCCUCUCCG
rnacentral:tRNA from 1 species